GCGGAAGUUGCAGUGUGCCUAAAUCGCACCACUGCACUCCAGUCUGGGAGACAGAGUGAGAUGCUAUCUCAAAAAAAAAAAAAAAAAGGUAAAAAAUAAAAACAAAAAAAUAAAACCAGUGCUGCUUCAUUCCCAGCUUGGCCCAAGGUGGGGCUCACUCGGCCUUAGAGGCGGAACUACUUUCUGGGCUUUGGACCUAAGAAUCAGCUGUCUCCCUUCCUAACGCCCUUUCUCUGAAGAGUAAGCUGUGGCUCUAAAACAAAGGAUUCCCCAUUCACGUGUAAAGCUACAAGGGAUUCCCCAGAGGAGUGGCUCCUUCAACCCAGGUAAAUGGGGAGGGUCUCACUAUGUUGCCCAGGCUAGACUUGAACUCCUGCACUCAAGCGAUCCUCCUGCCUCAGCCUCUUGAGUAGCUGGGACUACAGGUGUGUACUAUUGCACCCAGCCUUGGCCAGUCUUGAUCCACACUGUUGACAUCAUGACUUUAUCCUCUGGACCUGACUCUUCUGUUGUCCUCAGCCCUGCCGUGGUUGACUUCUUCUAACUGCAGGGAGCUAGAAGUCAGAGAAAUAUGUGAACUUCCUUUCUGUGCCAUGAUGUUCCAAAGAGGCACUGGGGCAAGACUGAGAGUUGUGGAACUCAGCAGACCCUCUUCAGUCAGCCUUCAUGGUAUGUUGUCUGGUAAACUGACUUCAGGAUAGAAGGUAUGGCACAAGCGCCUAACUGUUCAUAGGUGCUGGACAAAUGUUGAUCAAAUGAAUAAAUAAAUGAGGAGUGAAUAAAUCAAUAUAUUCCAAGGAUGCCACCAUAUAGUUACAGAGUUACUACCCACUGAAGUUGCAUUCCUAAGUGAAACUAUAAAUCAUUUUUAUAAUAAAGUAAAAGUUUAUCUGAUG
rnacentral:lncRNA from 10 species